CUGUUUUCCUUUGUACAGACCAUGUUUGCAAGGUAGAUUUCUGUUAUUUCGAAGUUUUUUUGUUUUUUUUUUCUUUUUCCUCAGUGAUUGCUUUGGAGAGCAAUGGUUGUAUAUCAAAGGGUGUAAAUGGCAUCUUUUGGGUCUGUGUUGGUAAGAGUGUUGGCCGCACUUUCGCUAACAUUAUUCCUUAGGGGAAGUUUCGAACUAAUGUGACUACUAUGUGCUCUCUUUAUUGCACUUUUAUUUUAGUGCGGUGUGUACUUGUUUGAUACAACCCCAUUUUAGCAGAAUUUAAGGGGGGUGUAUGUAACAUAGUUAAAAUGGUUCAGGUUAAAUCCUGCUAAAAUGCACCAUCUGCUGGUAAAAAGUCGUAUUGUAUUCACCUUAGAAAGAGCGGGGUAUUAUGGGUAAUCCUCAGAGUCAUGAGGAUCAUUGACGAGGUAACGUGUCUCUGCUGUGAUAAAGAAAUAUUAUUCAUGCAUUUUAUAAAAUAUGUUUAUGGUUUCUGUUUUCUUGCAUAUUAUUGAAAUAUGUUUAAUCCAGGUCACGCCAGUUCUGCUAUUAUAUUGUUUUGUCGUGUUUAAGAAUCGUUUAGUUUGUGAGAAAGUGUGAUGGGAAUUUCCCACGCGGUAACACUAUGGCUCCUCCUUGCAGGAGCUUGUUUAUGCCAGAGACUGACCUUAUCUCGAUGCCCAUUGUGUGAAAUGCAGAUGGAGAAUUAAAGAAAAAUAUCUGAUGCCAACUUGAGCUCCUUGUCAUUCAUUGCAACACCAAGAGAAGGCACCAGUUCCACAUAAGCCACACGUGCUUCUGGGACCACAAAGUUUCUCUGGCCGUUAGGUUUAGCUCCCAUCAGGUUUCAGGGCAGAACUAUGAAGAGCUUAAAAGAACUGUAAAUUUGUGUGUUAGUUCAAUUAAAGUCACCAAAAACUGUUUUCCAUUUACCUGAAACAGGAUUCAGGUUUCAUUACGUGAGGUUAAAACAUGGCCUCAGACUGGAACCUGUCAUAAUAAUGCAUUUCAAAAACAGCUGGGAACAAUAGUUUAGCAGCAAUAAUAAUGUUCAACCAAAUUCAGCAUUCUACAUUUACAUGACUAAAUGUUUUUAUUAAAUAUUGUAGUUAAAUUUUAUUCUGUAGCCAAGAGUAUGAUUCAUGUUGAUGAGGAAAUAAAAACUUUCUGAAUCAG